GUGCUUACUUUGGCAGCACAUUUACUAAAAUUGGACGGAUAUAGGGAAGAUUAGCAUGGCUCAUAUGCAAGGAUGACAUGCAAAUUUGUGAAGCAUUCUAUUUAAAA
ensembl:snRNA U6 U6 spliceosomal RNA